GUUGUACCAACAUUGUAAAAAGGUUGAGGAUUCUACGUUGUUGCUAAAGGUUGUCACAACGAUGUCAUAAGGUUGCCAUUUAAACAUCAUGAGGGUCGCAUGCUUUAGGUUGUGCUUAGGUGGCGUGGACGACCACUGUACAACAUUUACUGGUCACAGCUGAAUCAGUUUAAAUUUCAACAAGCCGUCGUCUCAUUCAUCAACGACCGAGGAGACGCUAUUUUUACAUGGAGGUAAUCUUCUAUUGAUAAUUUCUGGAUUUUAAUUAUGCGUAAGUUGCAUAAAACUCUAUUGUUUAAUCACUCACUGUUGUUUUCAAAUUACUCGUGUAACUUGUCUUUCAAAAUGUUUUCAGCUGUUGAAUUCACCUCAUAUCAGUGUAGCUGUAAUUCCUUAUCUAUGGAAAGAAGAAUUGGAUGAGUGAGCAACGCCACAACUACAGGGCCUGUUCUUUCUCUUCUCAUAAUUUAACUGGAUUAUCCGUUGAAUUUGUUUCUUCCUCU